CAAUAGCGUAUAUUAAAGUUGUUGCAGUUAAAAAGCUCGUAGUUGGACCUUGGACCUGGACAGGCGGUCCGCCUCACGGCGUGUACUGUCUUGCUGGGUCUUUCCUCUUGGUGAUCUGUUGUUUCGGCAGCAGGGAACCAGGACUUUUACUUUGAAAAAAUUAGAGUGUUCAAAGCAGGCUCGACGCCGGAAUAUAUUAGCGUGGAAUAAUAAAAUAGGACGUGCGGUUCUAUUUUGUUGGUUUUUGGAAUCGCCGUAAUGAUUAAUAGGGACAGUCGGGGGCAUUAGUACUCACAUGCUAGAGGUGAAAUUCUUGGAUUUUGUGAAGACUAACUUCUGCGAAAGCAUUUGCCAAGGAUGUUUUCAUUAA
rnacentral:rRNA from 1 species